rnacentral:lncRNA from 1 species
AACCGUUGAAUGUCGCUGGGUUGUAGCACUACGGGCUCCAGGUACUUUCUAAUUUCCUUUAUUUAACCUGAUUUGAGUCGUGAAAAUAGCCUCUGUGGUCCGGGCCAGCUGUAAUUUUGGGGGAUUGGAGGAGUUAGCAGCUUUGUUAGUUAACAGGAGGCAAACUCAAGAAUCUAUGUAUAGAUCACGCGACUCAAAUUCUUCACCUUGUUCAAAUUUGAUUGAGUUGUGAAGGGGAAUCGUUGCAAUGGACCUGAUUUCAAUUGAAUUUAAAGCUAAUGAUUAGAUGUUUUUGAUGAGAGAUGAGGGUUUACUGAUAUGUAGGUGUGAAAUCAUGAUGGUUGAAGGUGAUAAAAUGACAUGAGGUAGAUUUAUAAUCACAUGGAAGGAAGUUAUGUAAAUGAACCUCCAAUAUCUUGAAAUCUAUAUGAAAUUUGUGAUGAACGGAAUACAAUAAAUGCAAAUAAUCCAUAUAGGCAAUACGAACUGGUUGGAUUAAUAUAGUCAUUAUUCACACAUUUAUAUUAGAUCAUGCAUUUGAUAAGAGUCUAUGAAGUAUGUUUAGAGAUUGUAUGGAAGUGUAAGGAUACGUGCAAGAUUAGAGAAUCUCUAAUUUUUCAUAGAAAUACAAACAAUUGAAUGGUAGAAUGAGACGUCCCAAAUCCAAAAGAAUAGAUAUAGAGAAUGCAUAUAGCGCGCACCUCACUAGUUUGGAGUUGAGGUGUUAUUGUUAAUGUAAUGCUAUUCUUGCCUUUCCGAGCUGUCAAUAUAGGUCUUCAGAUAAAGGAUCCUCUGAAAUUCCUCCUUAUUUAUUUUGAAAAUACUGAUAAAAAUAAUGUGGUUAUAUAGGAUCCAAUAAUUAAGCAAAUCCCUGCAAGUCGUCACUUGCUGCCCCCCAUAUUCUCAUGAUAAUAUAUUAAUUUUAAGAUAGCAUUAGUUACAUAACUAAGUUUUUUACCCUUCCGAUGGCGAAUUACUCCAUAAUUGCAAGUUUAUGCGCCAUCAGCUUCUGCACAUGCAUGCUUCUUCUUCUAUUCGAUCUUGCAAUUUCUUAGGUUAACUGAAAAUGGUCUCGUCAAACCACAAUCUAUCUUAAAGUUAUCUAAUUGGCUCCCAUUCCAGCCUGACCUACAGUGUAGCUGUCGGAGUUUUGAUUUGCUCGCUUACAUUUUCUUUCGGAUUUCUAUCACUAACUUCAAUCAUAGUACAUGAGCUAUAUUUACAUUUGUUAUUACUUGGUUUAAGGAAAAUUUUGAGCUUAUCAUCAGCAUGUUUCUUAAAGAGCUCUCAAGUUUAGUGGUUAGGGUCAGAUUCAAAUUAUUUCAAGUCCUUUGACAGAACUCAUUUUGGUGUAACUUGCCACUUACUUCACCUCAUAUGAUUGCGUGGUGGAAUGGUCAAGACUUAAUUUUUAGCAACAACAGCUCAUACUUUCUGUCAUACUCCUCAAUUUCACUUAUGGUCUUUGAAAUAGUAUAGCACUUCCUUCAGCUUUUGAAGAAAAAUAUAAAAAGAAAGCUUUACAAGGAAGCAACUGAUUCUUGUGUCUCUUAUGCUUUUAAUGGAUAUGUGAAUGUAGACUCUAGUGCCAUUGAAUUGUGAGCUCGACAUUGUGCAACAAUAAGCUUACUAAUCAUAUUAUACAAUAUUAAAUGUUUCGGAUGCAAGUGAAGAUGAGGAAUAUAAUGAUGUCACUCCUUAAAGAUUCUCAUUUAAACAGUAAUAUACAAGCUACUUUCUCUGUGAUGGAUCAGAUGUUUAUCCUGCUACUUGAUACUCGUUGCCAUGUCUUCUUUCACUAGUUCCCAAUUUGUCACACAAUAAAAAUAAUUCAUGCUUUGGCUGCUGCAAGACUAUGACAUUUUGAGUUAUAGUUCAUAUUGUCUAAUAGGUCCCAUGCAAGCAUGGAAUUUCAGAGCUAGCAGUUGAGGUGUUGUUGAUAUUGUUGUUUAUUUUUAAAUAACAACAAGAUAGUAGUUGUACCAAAUGUAAUGAGAAAUCUCCAGAAAUAGAAGUGGUACACAAAAAGUAUAGAACUUGUAAUAAACAUGGUUAUAUAUGAAAGACAUGCAACUAUAUAUACUAACAGGAACCUAUAGGUGUAUCAAAACAAAGGGACAAAAACCAAACCCUUAUAUAUACAAGUUUUUUUUGAAGAGGGACAAAGCUAGCAGUUGAAUAAUUGGACAAACGAGUAGUUCAGUCAAUGCAACACAAAAUUGCUUGCCAAAUCAUUAUUCCCUAGGGUUGGAUCUACUUACAAAUUAGAGGUCGACAAAUGUGCAUGUUUCUUGCAUAUCCAUGUUCUCGUUUUGCACAAAUCAUUCUAAUAUCCCAGUUUCAAUUUCAACAUUUCUGCUGCAUUAAAUUCCUAGAAACUAGGCGUCCAUCAGUUAUUUUUUGUGACAGUGAAUACUUCCAUAUGAUGCAAUCUGAUUUAUUGGCUCAACUGUUUUAUACUAUAAUCUCUAGGGCAUUUGCUCUUUGUCCGUAUGAUGCAUGUUAUUCUGAACCCACAGUAGAAAAGAUUUGGCUUAUAUUGUGCUUGACAAACAAUUUUUGUGUCUAUAUUUGCCAAUUUUGUUCGAUGAUUUUUCAACAACGCUGUGCAAACCUAAACUGUCUGAUAUCCAGUGCCAUUAAUGGGAUUGGCUGGUUAUCUAGCCUGUUUGUUUAGGAAAAACUCUUCCACACCUAUAAUUUCACUUCGUAAAGUAUCCAUUAGCUUACCUAGACUGCAUAAAUCAACCAAGUUUAGACUGUUGGUUCUACCAAGGUUAGUUGGCUCUAAAAUGCUUCCCACUAUGUUUCUGCUUUCAUAGGUCUAAGUUUGUUGAUCUCAUGAACAUAAAUGUUUUAUUUCAUUUGUGGUUUGAUAAAAACUUCACCAAAAUGUGGCUCUAUGUGCACUCAUAAAAUUUGAAUGAGCUUUUUCCAUAUGCAAUUUGUCUUCGUAGUCCUCCUCCUGUGGCAUCUUACAACAUUAUGACAUCUUGCUUGGUCAAGUAUUAGUGCAGAUAUAAAACAUUUGAGACCUUAGUGUUUCAUGUCUAUUGCAUUAUUUUGAGAAAUAAGACUAAAGCAUUUAUGCUUUCUGGGCAGGAGAAAAAAAUGAGGCAUUUCAGCUUCUCUUUGGUCUGGUUAGCACAUUAGCCUUUUAAUGCAAGUUGUUGCUUCAAAGGUGCCCUUCAGGAGUCUCCACACAAAGUUUUAUGAUUUUGAAAGAUACAAGUCGAGCACAUAACAAGUAUGCUUGUCUAUCUUUUAAAUGAUUACUCUUAUUGUACUUGUAUAUGGUAUUGUAUAUGGUAUUACUGGAUAUGUUGAUUUUGUCCUUUUAUUAUUCCUUGUCUAGAUUGUUUUAUUUUGAGCCGGGGGUCUAUCGGUAACAGCCUCUCUAUCUCAUUUCUGAGGUAGUGAUACAGAUUGCGUACACUUACCCUCUGCAGACCCCACUUGGUGGAAAUAUACUGGGUAUGUUGUUGUUGUACUCUUAUUGCUUGAAUCCAGUUAGAAAGCGGGACGAAAUAACUUUGAACUACUAGAUCAGGUUGAACUUGUACAAUUUGUAGGUCAACAUUAAGAGAUUUUAAGGACAACUGGCACCUUUUGCUCCUCAAGCUACUGCUUAAUUUCAAACCCUGGAUUGUUGCACUUGGCUGGUCUUUAAUUUGUUUAGAAGGAGACAGUCUGGUCCUUUUUGGUAAUUCAAUCAACCAAUCUGACCCUUUUUGGCAAUUCAAUCAACCAAUCUUUUUAAGAAUCCCAUAAGUUCCAGAGUCUUCCAACCCUUUCUUCUUUUGCCCAUCUCUCAUAUCCUUCAUAAUCCAUCAUCAGACCUUGCAACCCCUUAUGCACUCCUAACUCUGCUCCCU